rnacentral:rRNA from 1 species
UGGGGAAUUUUGGACAAUGGGGGAAACCCUGAUCCAGCCAUCCCGCGUGUGCGAUGAAGGCCUUCGGGUUGUAAAGCACUUUUGGCAGGAAAGAAACGUCGCGGGUUAAUACCCCGCGAAACUGACGGUACCUGCAGAAUAAGCACCGGCUAACUACGUGCCAGCAGCCGCGGUAAUACGUAGGGUGCAAGCGUUAAUCGGAAUUACUGGGCGUAAAGCGUGCGCAGGCGGUUCGGAAAGAAAGAUGUGAAAUCCCAGAGCUUAACUUUGGAACUGCAUUUUUAACUACCGGGCUAGAGUGUGUCAGAGGGAGGUGGAAUUCCGCGUGUAGCAGUGAAAUGCGUAGAUAUGCGGAGGAACACCGAUGGCGAGGCAGCCUCCUGGGAUAACACUGACGCUCAUGCACGAAAGCGUGGGGAGCAAACAGGAUUAGAUACCCUGGUAGUCCACGCCCUAAACGAUGUCAACUAGCUGUUGGGGCCUUCGGGCCUUGGUAGCGCAGCUAACGCGUGAAGUUGACCGCCUGGGGAGUACGGUCGCAAGAUUAAAACUUAAAUGAAUUGAC